CAUCUUGAUGCGGUUUGUAAGGCGAAUAUAGCAAAAUUUCGACGCCAGAACACAGGACAAAGAAAUCAGAGCUCUCUUUCUCAUCUGCUUGCAACCUUUUUUGAAAAGUUUACCAGUCCUUCCCUUACUAGUGCUGUUAUAUCCACGUACGAGGGUCGGCUCAAGGAAAUCCAGGACUUGCCCUAUCGGAUGACCUCUCACAGCUUGUUUGUCGAAGAUCCAUUCGAGAGGCAUGAGAAUGCAGCUAGAACUGUAGAUAGAUCGGAAAUUCACCGUAUCGCAAGAGCCUUCGAUCAUGCCAAUUCUGUCUUUGCAGGCGAUGGGCUCGCCAACCGGAAUGAACUACUUUCGCUCUUGUGUACACCUGAAGUGGCAAUACAAGCAGGUGCAGAAGGCAUGGCUACCUGACCGUUAUGCAUACACAACGAUCUGAUCAGGUUUUGCAGGGAUGGUAUAAUUCAGGCACGUGCAGAUGAACUACACCCAAGUUAGCAUCAGAGAUAGAAAAAUGCUCUUCAGAUGGA